CCUACGGGAGGCAGCAGUGAGGAAUAUUGGUCAAUGGGCGCAAGCCUGAACCAGCCAUGCCGCGUGCAGGAUGACGGUCCUAUGGAUUGUAAACUGCUUUUGUACGAGAAGAAACACUCCUACGUGUAGGAGCUUGACGGUAUCGUAAGAAUAAGGAUCGGCUAACUCCGUGCCAGCAGCCGCGGUAAU
rnacentral:rRNA from 1 species